rnacentral:rRNA from 1 species
GGUUAAGCGACUAAGCGUACACGGUGGAUGCCCUGGCAGUCAGAGGCGAUGAAGGACGUGCUAAUCUGCGAUAAGCGUCGGUAAGGUGAUAUGAACCGUUAUAACCGGCGAUUUCCGAAUGGGGAAACCCAGUGUGAUUCGUCACACUAUCAUUAACUGAAUCCAUAGGUUAAUGAGGCGAACCGGGGGAACUGAAACAUCUAAGUACCCCGAGGAAAAGAAAUCAACCGAGAUUCCCCCAGUAGCGGCGAGCGAACGGGGAGGAGCCCAGAGCCUGAAUCAGUGUGUGUGUUAGUGGAAGCGUCUGGAAAGGCGUGCGAUACAGGGUGACAGCCCCGUACACAAAAAUGCACAUGCUGUGAGCUCGAUGAGUAGGGCGGGACACGUGGUAUCCUGUCUGAAUAUGGGGGGACCAUCCUCCAAGGCUAAAUACUCCUGACUGACCGAUAGUGAACCAGUACCGUGAGGGAAAGGCGAAAAGAACCCCGGCGAGGGGAGUGAAAAAGAACCUGAAACCGUGUACGUACAAGCAGUGGGAGCCUCUUUAAUGGGGUGACUGCGUACCUUUUGUAUAAUGGGUCAGCGACUUAUAUUCUGUAGCAAGGUUAACCGAAUAGGGGAGCCGAAGGGAAACCGAGUCUUAACUGGGCGUUAAGUUGCAGGGUAUAGACCCGAAACCCGGUGAUCUAGCCAUGGGCAGGUUGAAGGUUGGGUAACACUAACUGGAGGACCGAACCGACUAAUGUUGAAAAAUUAGCGGAUGACUUGUGGCUGGGGGUGAAAGGCCAAUCAAACCGGGAGAUAGCUGGUUCUCCCCGAAAGCUAUUUAGGUAGCGCCUCGUGAAUUCAUCUCCGGGGGUAGAGCACUGUUUCGGCAAGGGGGUCAUCCCGACUUACCAACCCGAUGCAAACUGCGAAUACCGGAGAAUGUUAUCACGGGAGACACACGGCGGGUGCUAACGUCCGUCGUGAAGAGGGAAACAACCCAGACCGCCAGCUAAGGUCCCAAAGUCAUGGUUAAGUGGGAAACGAUGUGGGAAGGCCCAGACAGCCAGGAUGUUGGCUUAGAAGCAGCCAUCAUUUAAAGAAAGCGUAAUAGCUCACUGGUCGAGUCGGCCUGCGCGGAAGAUGUAACGGGGCUAAACCAUGCACCGAAGCUGCGGCAGCGACACUAUGUGUUGUUGGGUAGGGGAGCGUUCUGUAAGCCGUUGAAGGUGGCCUGUGAGGGUUGCUGGAGGUAUCAGAAGUGCGAAUGCUGACAUAAGUAACGAUAAAGCGGGUGAAAAGCCCGCUCGCCGGAAGACCAAGGGUUCCUGUCCAACGUUAAUCGGGGCAGGGUGAGUCGACCCCUAAGGCGAGGCCGAAAGGCGUAGUCGAUGGGAAACAGGUUAAUAUUCCUGUACUUGGUGUUACUGCGAAGGGGGGACGGAGAAGGCUAUGUUGGCCGGGCGACGGUUGUCCCGGUUUAAGCGUGUAGGCUGAUUUUCCAGGCAAAUCCGGAGAAUCAAGGCUGAGGCGUGAUGACGAGGCACUACGGUGCUGAAGCAACAAAUGCCCUGCUUCCAGGAAAAGCCUCUAAGCAUCAGGUAACAUCAAAUCGUACCCCAAACCGACACAGGUGGUCAGGUAGAGAAUACCAAGGCGCUUGAGAGAACUCGGGUGAAGGAACUAGGCAAAAUGGUGCCGUAACUUCGGGAGAAGGCACGCUGAUGGUAGGUGAAGCGACCUGCUCGUGGAGCUGAAAUCAGUCGAAGAUACCAGCUGGCUGCAACUGUUUAUUAAAAACACAGCACUGUGCAAACACGAAAGUGGACGUAUACGGUGUGACGCCUGCCCGGUGCCGGAAGGUUAAUUGAUGGGGUCAGCCGCAAGGCGAAGCUCUUGAUCGAAGCCCCGGUAAACGGCGGCCGUAACUAUAACGGUCCUAAGGUAGCGAAAUUCCUUGUCGGGUAAGUUCCGACCUGCACGAAUGGCGUAAUGAUGGCCAGGCUGUCUCCACCCGAGACUCAGUGAAAUUGAACUCGCUGUGAAGAUGCAGUGUACCCGCGGCAAGACGGAAAGACCCCGUGAACCUUUACUAUAGCUUGACACUGAACAUUGAGCCUUGAUGUGUAGGAUAGGUGGGAGGCUUUGAAGUGUGGACGCCAGUCUGCAUGGAGCCGACCUUGAAAUACCACCCUUUAAUGUUUGAUGUUCUAACGUGGACCCGUGAUCCGGGUUGCGGACAGUGUCUGGUGGGUAGUUUGACUGGGGCGGUCUCCUCCUAAAGAGUAACGGAGGAGCACGAAGGUUGGCUAAUCCUGGUCGGACAUCAGGAGGUUAGUGCAAUGGCAUAAGCCAGCUUGACUGCGAGCGUGACGGCGCGAGCAGGUGCGAAAGCAGGUCAUAGUGAUCCGGUGGUUCUGAAUGGAAGGGCCAUCGCUCAACGGAUAAAAGGUACUCCGGGGAUAACAGGCUGAUACCGCCCAAGAGUUCAUAUCGACGGCGGUGUUUGGCACCUCGAUGUCGGCUCAUCACAUCCUGGGGCUGAAGUAGGUCCCAAGGGUAUGGCUGUUCGCCAUUUAAAGUGGUACGCGAGCUGGGUUUAGAACGUCGUGAGACAGUUCGGUCCCUAUCUGCCGUGGGCGCUGGAGAACUGAGGGGGGCUGCUCCUAGUACGAGAGGACCGGAGUGGACGCAUCACUGGUGUUCGGGUUGUCAUGCCAAUGGCACUGCCCGGUAGCUAAAUGCGGAAGAGAUAAGUGCUGAAAGCAUCUAAGCACGAAACUUGCCCCGAGAUGAGUUCUCCCUGAGACUUUAAGUCUCCUGAAGGAACGUUGAAGACGACGACGUUGAUAGGCCGGGUGUGUAAGCGCAGCGAUGCGUUGAGCUAACCGGUACUAAUGAACCGUGAGGCUUAACCUU